CUUCCAAUUUCAUGGUCUGAGGCAUGCGAAUUCCUGUGAUGGCAUUCAAUGAUAUUUCUGGGGCCUGUUCGUCCACCUGCUGGUCAUUAUUAAUGUCAAUGUCAUCUUCUUCUGCUACCAGAUCAAUCCAAAACAGUUUGUUGCAUUGAUGCCCACGGACAAACGGCUCAUCACAAUUGAAACAAAGUCCCUUUUGCCGCUGCUCUUCCAUCUCGGCCCUAGUCAAGCGUUUCACUGUUCUUGUGGUUGGAGGGGGUGGACUUGCCAAUGGUGGAACACUGUUUCAGCAAUUUUUAAAAAACCCCAG
rnacentral:lncRNA from 1 species